rfam:Picea glauca, whole genome shotgun sequence.
UGCCUAUAGCAUAGCGUUAAUUCAUGGGAUCCCAUUAGAACUUUGCAGUUAAGCGCACUCAGGCUAGAGUAGUACUGUGAUGGGUGACCACCCGGGAAGUCCUAGUGUUUUACGUGC